rnacentral:tRNA from 1 species
GWGGUGAGGGUUAAAAUCCCUUCUCUUUGA